AUUGAACGCUGGCGGCAGGCCUAACACAUGCAAGUCGAGCGGAUGAAGGGAGCUUGCUCCUGGAUUCAGCGGCGGACGGGUGAGUAAUGCCUAGGAACCUGCCUGGUAGUGGGGGAUAACGUCCGGAAACGGGCGCUAAUACCGCAUACGUCCUGAGGGAGAAAGUGGGGGAUCUUCGGACCUCACGCUAUCAGAUGAGCCUAGGUCGGAUUAGCUAGUUGGUGGGGUAAAGGCCCACCAAGGCGACGAUCCGUAACUGGUCUGAGAGGAUGAUCAGUCACACUGGAAUUGAGACACGGUCCAGACUCCUACGGGAGGCAGCAGUGGGGAAUAUUGGACAAUGGGCGAAAGCCUGAUCCAGCCAUGCCGCGUGUGUGAAGAAGGUCUUCGGAUUGUAAAGCACUUUAAGUUGGGAGGAAGGGCAGUAAGUUAAUACCUUGCUGUUUUGACGUUACCAACAGAAUAAGCACCGGCUAACUUCGUG
rnacentral:rRNA from 1 species